rnacentral:rRNA from 1 species
UUCGUAGGCGGGAUAUUAAGUCAGUGGUGAUAUCCUACAGCUUAACUGUAGAACUGCCAUUGAUACUGAUAUUCUUGAAUUCACCUGAAGUAGGCGGAACAUGACAUGUAGCGGUGAAAUGCUUAGAUAUGUCAUAGAACACCGAUUGCGAAGGCAGCUUACUAAAGUGAUAUUGACGCUAAGGAACGAAAGCGUGGGGAGCGAACAGGAUUAGAUACCCUGGUAGUCC